UACGUAGGGGGCAAGCGUUGUCCGGAAUCAUUGGGCGUAAAGCGCGUGUAGGCGGCCCGAUAAGUCCGCUGUGAAAGUCCAGGGCUCAACCCUGGAAUGCCGGUGGAUACUGUCGGGCUCGAGUCCGGAAGAGGCGAGUGGAAUUCCUGGUGUAGCGGUGGAAUGCGCAGAUAUCAGGAGGAACACCGGUGGCGAGGGCGGGUCUCUGGGCCGACAUUGACGCUGAUGUGCGAAAGCGUGGGGAGCAAACAGG
rnacentral:rRNA from 1 species